rnacentral:lncRNA from 1 species
UGAGUUGUUAUUAUCCUUCAAACAUCCAUAUAUAUGAGGUCCAACAACUCACUUAUCUUUUUUUAUAUUCAGUAAAUGAGAUCUUGAUCAUCUUACCCAUGAGACAAGAUUCAGAAGUUCUAUAUGAUUCAAAAUCACACAGAUUAAAAAACUCUUCUUUGUAUAACUUGUUAAUCUUUGACUCAUUUAUAUAACUAAACCGGCAGUACCAGAGAU